UGCAGAAGGAUCAUUAUUUAAAACUGAAUGAGUGCACUUUAUUGUGGCUCAAACUCUUUUAUCUCACCCCCUUUUUUUUUUUGUUUGUAACACAAGUUGAAUUAAGAAUGUAAAAAACCUUUUAUUUUGAAAAUAACUUUUAACAAUGGAUCUCUUGGCUCUCAUAUCGAUGAAGAACACAGUGAAAUGUGAUAAGUAAUGUGAAUUGCAGAAUUCAGUGAAUCAUUGAAUCUUUGAACGCACCUUGCACCUUUUGGUAUUCCAAAAGGUACGCCUGUUUGAGUGUCAUGAAAAUCUCUCAUCAAAUUAAUUUUUGGUGGAUGUUGAGUGCUGCUGCUAUCUAGCUCACUUUAAAUAUAUAAGUUCUUCCUUUAUGUUGUUGGAUUGACUUGGUGUAAUAUUUAACUUUUUUUUCAUCAAGGAAAGUAGAAAUACUUGCCAACAAUUUUUAAAAUAAGGACUCCUAAAUUUAUAAUCUUUUUUAAGACCUCAAAUCAGGUGGGACUACCUGCUGAACUUAAGCAUAUCAAUAAGCAGAGGAAAA
rnacentral:rRNA from 1 species